UACGAGGGGGGCAACCGUUAUUCGGAAUCACUGGGCUUAAAGGGCGCGUAGGCGGGCCGCCAGGUCCGGGGUGAAAGCCUCCAGCUCAACUGGAGAAGUGCCUUGGAUACCGGCGGCCUCGAGGGAGGUAGGGGCGUGCGGAACUUCGGGUGGAGCGGUGAAAUGCGUAGAUAUCCGAAGGAACACCGGUGGCGAAAGCGGCGCGCUGGAUCUCUUCUGACGCUGAGGCGCGAAAGCCAGGGGAGCAAACGGG
rnacentral:rRNA from 1 species